rnacentral:rRNA from 1 species
CCUACGGGGGGCAGCAGUGAGGAAUAUUGGUCAAUGGGCGCGAGCCUGAACCAGCCAAGUCGCGUGAGGGAAGACGGUCCUAUGGAUUGUAAACCUCUUUUGUCGGGGAGCAAAAGACGCCACGCGUGGCGUUCCGAGAGUACCCGAAGAAAAAGCAUCGGCUAACUCCGUGCCAGCAGCCGCGGUAAUACGGAGGAUGCGAGCGUUAUCCGGAUUUAUUGGGUUUAAAGGGUGCGCAGGCGGAAGAUUAAGUCAGCGGUAAAAUUGAGAGGCUCAACCUCGUCGAGCCGUUGAAACUGGUUGUCUUGAGUGGGUGAGAAGUAUGCGGAAUGCGUGGUGUAGCGGUGAAAUGCAUAGAUAUCACGCAGAACUCCGAUUGCGAAGGCAGCAUACCGGCGCUCCACUGACGCUCAUGCACGAAAGUGUGGGUAUCGAACAGGAUUAGAUACCCCUGUAGUC